CCAGCAACGACCCAAGAUGGGUUCCAAAGGAAAAGGUGAUGUUGGGCAGUAGUUUUGGAUUGUUUUGACCCAGUGAAAUCCAGCUAGCAAUGAGACACUUGGCAGAAAGUAUCACAUGGCAGGAACAAAAAAAAACCCUCUGAGCAAUCUCUCCCCAGACAAUGCAGAACAAGAUCAGGUAACAUUUCUACUGAGCUAACUGCAGGUGCACUUGGUGCUGCUGCUGGUGCUUUGAUCUGUAGCAUUUUCACUUUAUGAGCAUUUUGAUGAUAGCAAAAGCUUUAUAAAUAUUUUUAUUUACUUUUUUUUUUUUUUAAACACCUCUUAGUUAGACGUAAAGCUCAUGUUGUUUUCUGACUUGGACAAUUUUGAUUAAAAAUGUUCAAUUUUGAAAUGUUUUGGUGUGAAAGACACAAAAAUAUCAUGUGACAUUUUAAUUAGAUUUUGUGUGAAGGUAGGAAAUCAGUUGGGUUUUAUGGCUUUCUUUUAUUUUGACAAAAUUACCACUCUCUGCUGCAAAAACAGGGAGCACAGCCUGACACAUUUAUGAUCUGAUGUUGAAAAGAACGUGAGACAGAAAUGGAAAGGAAAAUGGCAAACAGGUAUCUAUAAAUAAAACCAUGGUCAUAAACAUCAUGUCAUGCUCAUGAACAGCAGUGAGAUACAGCAGGUGAGAAAAUGAAAAGACAGAAACUGCAGAGCACAAAACACUACCAGUACCCCAAAAAGACUCAGCCUGGUGAGAUUUAGCUCAAUGUAUACGUGCAAAAAUUCUCAUGGCAUCCUCAGAGUUUGGCAGCAGCACUGCAAUGAUUUUCUGGAUUUUCUCUUGCAGGGGAUCACAAGGAAUGGAUGAAUUGCCAUCAGGACAAGGCAGGAGAAAAGGCCCACUGCUCCAGUCUCAGAUGCCACUUCAACUGAAGAGAUCACAGAACAGGAAAAGGGCAUGCACAGGUAUUGGGAAGGAGCAUCCCAGACCUUGGAAGUCGUGUCAUUUCUUGGAGAAACCCAAGAAGAAAUUACUGAAUACCCAAGAAGAAAAUUUGCACAUUGACUAUUUUAUUUGUAUAUAUGUAUACAUAUGUAUACAGCUCUUAAGAUCAAUGCUGGAAUAAUUGAAGUUCCAAAUAUCUCCUGAUGCUUUGUGUGUUGUAACUACUCCAUCAAAAUCAAUCAAAAUCUCACAAUCCUUAUAUUAAACUGCUAAUAAACAUUUAGGAAAAAGUAGCCA
rnacentral:lncRNA from 1 species